AUUGAACGCUGGCGGCAUGCCUUACACAUGCAAGUCGAACGUGAAAGGGGGGCAACCCCCGAGUAGAGUGGCGGACGGGUGAGUAACACAUCGGAACGUACCCAGUAGUGGGGGACAACCUCGAGAAAUCGAGGCUAAUACCGCAUACGACCCACGGGUGAAAGCGGGGGACCGCAAGGCCUCGCGCUAUUGGAGCGGCCGAUGUCCGAUUAGCUUGUUGGCGGGGUAAGAGCCCACCAAGGCGACGAUCGGUAGCUGGUCUGAGAGGAUGAUCAGCCACACUGGGACUGAGACACGGCCCAGACUCCUACGGGAGGCAGCAGUGGGGAAUUUUGGACAAUGGGGGCAACCCUGAUCCAGCCAUGCCGCGUGCGGGAAGAAGGCC
rnacentral:rRNA from 1 species